rnacentral:rRNA from 1 species
UACGUAGGGUGCGAGCGUUGCCCCGGAUUUAUUGGGCGUAAAGGGCGCGUAGGCGGCUCUGCACGUCCGUUGUGAAAUCGCCCCGGCUCAACGUGGGCGGGGUCAGCCGGAUACGGCAGAGCUCGAGCAAGCUAGGGGGCAAUGGAAUUCCCGGUCGUAGUGGUGGAAUGCGUAGAUAUCGGGAGGAACACCAGUGGCGAAGGCGGUUGCCUGGGGCUUGCUGACGC